UACGAAGGGGGCUAGCGUUGCUCGGAAUUACUGGGCGUAAAGCGCACGUAGGCGGCUCUUUAAGUCGGAGGUGAAAUCCUGGAGCUCAACUCCAGAACUGCCUUCGAUACUGAAGAGCUCGAGUCCGGGAGAGGUGAGUGGAAACUGCGAGUGUAGAGGUGAAAUUCGUAGAUAUUCGCAAGAACACCAGUGGCGAAGGCGGCUCACUGGCCCGGUACUGACGCUGAGGUGCGAAAGCGUGGGGAGCAAACAGG
rnacentral:rRNA from 1 species